UCCUGGUUAACCCAGGCAGUCUCACUAGAGUUCCCACCUUAAAUGUUGGCAACUAGUGAUAAGGGUUGCGCUCGUUGCGGGACUUAACCCAACACCUCACGGCACGAGCUGACGACAGCCAUGCAGCACCUGUAUUCUUGUCCUUUCGGAAGACGACAUUUCUGCCGCUGUCAAGAGUAUGUCAAGUCUGGGUAAGGUUCUUCGCGUUGCAUCGAAUUAAACCACAUGCUCCACUGCUUGUGCGGGCCCCCGUCAAUUCUUUUGAGUUUCACCCUUGCGAGCGUACUCCUCAGGCGGUACACUUAUCGCGUUAGCUACGACACAACUGGGGUUGAGACCAGUUACAUCAAGUGUACAUCGUUUACAGCAAGGACUAC
rnacentral:misc_RNA from 1 species